rnacentral:rRNA from 1 species
GACGAACGCUGGCGGCGUGCUUAACACAUGCAAGUCGAGCGGAAAGGCCACUUCGGUGGUACUCGAGCGGCGAACGGGUGAGUAACACGUGAGUAAUCUGCCCCUGGCUUCGGGAUAGCCACCGGAAACGGUGAUUAAUACCGGAUAUGACCACGUCUCGCAUGGGGUGUGGUGGAAAGUUUUUCGGCCAGGGAUGUGCUCGCGGCCUAUCAGUUUGAUGGUGAGGUAAUGGCUCACCAUGGCUUAGACGGGUAGCCGGCCUGAGAGGGUGACCGGUCACACUGGGACUGACACACGGCCCAGACUCCUACGGGAGGCAGCAGUGGGGAAUAUUGGACAAUGGGCGGAAGCCUGAUCCAGCAACGCCGCGUGAGGGAUGACGGCCUUCGGGUUGUAAACCUCUUUCAGUACCGACGAAGCGCAAGUGACGGUAGGUACAGAAGAAGCACCGGCCAACUACGUGCCAGCCGCCGCCGUAAAAC